rnacentral:misc_RNA from 1 species
AGGAGCACCACGAGAAGCACUCCAACUGGUGGGGUGCAAGCCGUGAGGGGUUCUCGUCUGUAGUGGACGAGGGCCGGGUGCGCGACAACGAACGAGCCAGACACACUAUUGGGUCCUGAGGCAACACUCGGGCUUGGCCAGAGCUGUUGUCCCACCAUCUUGGUGGUGGGGUGUGGUGUUUGAGAAUUGGAUAGUGGUUGCGAGCA